AGUGAACGCUGGCGGCGUGCCUAACACAUGCAAGUCGAACGAGAACGGGUAUUAGUUUACUAAUACUGUCAGCUAAGUGGCGCACGGGUGAGUAAUAUAUAGUUAAUCUGCCCCAAAGAAGAGAAUAAUUGUUGGAAACGACUUGUAAUGCUCUAUAUGCCUUUAUUACAUAAGUAAGCAAGGGAAACAUUUAUGGCUUUGGGAUGAGACUGUACGGUAUCAGCUAGUUGGUGAGGUAAUGGCUCACCAAGGCAAUGACAUCUAACUGGUUUGAGAGGAUGAUCAGUCACACUGGAACUGAGACACGGUCCAGACUCCUACGGGAGGCAGCAGUGGGGAAUAUUGCACAAUGGAGGAAACUCUGAUGCAGCAACGCCGCGUGGAGGAUGACACAUUUCGGUGCGUAAACUCCUUUUAUAUGAGAAGAUAAUGACGGUAUCAUAUGAAUAAGCACCGGCUAACUCCGUG
rnacentral:rRNA from 1 species